rnacentral:rRNA from 1 species
CGAAGGUAGCAUAAUCAGUAGUUUUUUAAUUGAAAGCUCGUAUGAAUGGUUGAACGAAAUAUAAACUGUUUCAUUUAAAAUUUUAUAUAAAAUUUUAUUUUUUAGUAAAAAAGCUAAAAUUUUUUUAAAAGACGAGAAGACCCUAUAAAUCUUUAUAUAAAAUUUAUUUAAAUUAAAUAGAUAAAUUUGAUUAUUAUUUUAUUUUAUAUUUUAUUGGGGUGAUAUUAAAAUUUAAAAAACUUUUAUAAUUUUAAAUCAUAAAUUAAUGAAUUAUUGAUCCAUUGAUAAUGAUUAAAAAAUUAAGUUACUUUAGGGAUAACAGCGUAAUUUUUUUAGAGAGUUCUUAUCGAUAAAAAAGAUUGCGACCUCGAUGUUGGAUUAA